AUAAAUAUCUGAUGCCGCCAUUGCUCUUUCCACUCCUGCAACCCUUCCGUUAAGAUGGAAGCCGAACACUACCUUACGGCAAACGCCAAAGGUUGGACAAUGCAGACCUAUUCGAAGGUAUUGGAGCCAUUGGAGUUUGAUGGUAUUUACCCAUGUCCACGCUACAAUGAUGAUCUUUGAACUCUCUCUUGCCGAAUCCAACUUUGAAGAAACUUCUUUACCAGAUUCUGAGUAACCCAACGGAGCCCACCUCAGUUCAAUAAGACUUGACGAGAUUUAAAAUCCCCUUUUUCUCACAGACUGUAUGGACAGAACAAGGAUGAUGGCUGCCUAGAAUGGUGGGAAUGUGAAAUAGCUUCACAAACCUGGACUUCGGCCAGUUUGUCCAAUGGAGGACAUUGUUGAGACAUGGGAGUUGAUGGAGGACAUGGGAGUUGAUGGUGUGGUGAGAUUGUCAUUCAAAACCGCCCAUAAUUAAAGGUGUCAUGGUGCUGGUGUUAAGAGACUACUUCUACUCCAACCAAGGGUUCCUAGACUGGUCCAGUGUUCAUCUGCUACCCUGGUGUCCUUGAAACAGAUCUGGAUCAUCAUGUUAUCGGGGCGGUCACGUUAACCACAACGACUGAUGCUGCCUCAAUCCCGUGGACUUUCUAAAAUGUCUGCCACGGGCCUUCACCUGGGCGUCGGGACGGUGCUGACGUCUUUCCAUGAAUGCAGGAGCAGGACUGGGCCAGUGUUGAUCUGCUACCCUGGCAUCCUCGGAUCUGGAUCAUCAUGUUAUCGGGGCAGUCACGCUAACCACAACGACCGAUGCCGUCUCAAUCCCGUGGCCAUGGCAGAUGUUUCUAAAAUGGCUCCCACGGGCCUUCACCAGGGUGUCGGACGGUGCGGACGUCUUUCCAUGAAGGCAGGAGCAAGACGUGUCCAUUGUUGAUCUGCUACCCUGGCGUCCUCAAAUCUGGAUCUGGAUCAUCAUGAUGGUGGACGUUUCGGGGGUCGUAAGCAUAUCGUCACACGCCAUGGGCCUUCACUAGGUUGUGUGGAGGGUACUGACGUCUUUCCAUGAACAAAGGAGCUAUACUGGUCCAGUGUCCAUCUGCCACGCUUGAGUCCGCAAACCCAGAUCUGGAUCAUCAUGUUAUUGGGGCAGUCACGCUAACCACAACGACACAUGCCGUCUCAAUCCCGUGGCCAUGGCAGAUGUUUCUAAAAUGUCUGCCAUGUAGGGUGCCAUGCCAGGGUGUCGGACGGUGCUGACGUCUUUCCAUGAAUGCAGGAGCAAGACUGGGCCAGUGUUGAUCUGCUACACUGGCGUCCUCAAAUCUGGAUCUGGAUCAUCAUGUUAUCGGGGCAGUCACGCUAACCACAACGACGGAUGCCGUCUCAAUCCCGUGGCCAUGGCAGAUGUUUCUUAAAUGUCUGCCACGGGCCUUCACCAGGGCGUCGGGACGGUGCUGACGUCUUUCCAUGAAGGCAGGAGCAAGACGGGUCCAGUGUUGCUCUGCUACACUGGCGUCCUCAAAUCUGGAUCAUCAUGGUGGUCUGUGGAUCCUGUGGGUGCUUCUUACUGGAAGGUCACUGCAGUGCUGCUGGAAGUGUUGUCUACAAUAUGGCUCCCCCUUCAUGUCUGCAACUUCCACAUCGUUGGGCUCAUGGAGUGAUUUUCAAUAAAAAACUUUGAAACCGGUUUAUGCUUGUCUAUCGAACUGAUUGUGAAUAAGGAGGACUGAUGUGAUUGCUUCUCAUGUUAAGCAGUAUUUUGGUCCUCAUCCUUCAGUACCUUAUUUGUAACUAUUUCACUAGGAAAUAACAUGUUUUAUUCAACAUUUUGCAUCUCAUAAGGAGUGUGGACGUAGUUGAAAUGCAACAAACUCGCAGGGUAAAAUAGUUUUCAGUACAGAGGAAGGCAAGUUUGCGGAAAGUGAGGUCAAGGAUCCUCAAAUAUUAAGUGUUAUGACAUUGCCAGGUUGGGUAACUGUUGUGAGGUCCAUUUAACUUGAGUACAAAGGUAAUGGUUAAACAUUAGAAACAGUGUUUCGGUUCAUACAAGUAAUGAGGUUAAUGUCAAAUAUGGAAAUGUAUGAUUUUUCUAUGCAUUAAAGUAGUUGCCUUAGUCCACUCCACUUUCACUAUCCAUGCCUCUCCCAAAUGAAAUAUUGCAGCCCAAAACUCUAUACGAGACCAAAUAUAAAACGAGUUUAAAGCUGUAUGGCUUUAUAGAAAAUUAACGCCCAUUUGCAUUUACGGAAUGUGAGUUGUAGGAUGGGAAGUUAAUUUCGGUGGAAAAAUUGAAACGGGUUUUAUUUCAGUGUCACCCUAUCAAGUUGAUCUCCAACGUAAGAGGUUUUCCCUUUGAAAUUAAGAUAGCCAUUUAUCUUUUUUUCCCCCGAAGUUACAAGGAGACAUUUCAUAGUAUCCAGAUUGUGGCAGAAAUGCCACAAGAGUUUUUUGUUCACUAAACAAUAAAUGUAUUCUCUGAAUGAACCGUAGGUGGCAGCAGGACGCCGAAAGGCCUGUAGAUCACCAGUAACUAAUAAAAGAAGAAGUAGCUUAUCGUGCAUCAGCAUGGACGUAUCUUAGAACCACCAGAGGUUGUAGUUCCGUCUAACUUCAUGAAGGCGUUGGGUCUCAGGUGGAAGAGGAACACUGCCUUACUGCUCACUACAAAGGUGGAGCAAUGAAGGCUGAAAUCCGAGUAUGGACAGAAAAAGGAUGAUGGCUGCAUAGUUGACUGGUGGAUAUGUGAACUAGCUCCACAAACCUGGACUUCGGCCAGUUAGUCCAAUGGAGGCCAUUGUUGAGGC